UGAACGCUAGCGGCAGGCUUAACACAUGCAAGUCGAACGGUAACAGAGAAAGCUUGCUUUUUGCUGACGAGUGGCGAACGGGUGCGUAACGCGUAUGCAACCUACCUUUUUCAGAGGAAUAGCCCAGAGAAAUUUGGAUUAAUACCUCAUAAUAAUAUUUUUUCGCAUGUUAAAAUAUUUAAAGCUACGGCGGAAAAAGAUGGGCAUGCGUAACAUUAGUUUGUUGGUGAGGUAAUGGCUCACCAAGACUACGAUGUUUAGGGGGUCUGAGAGGAUGAUCCCCCACACUGGUACUGAGACACGGACCAGACUCCUACGGGAGGCAGCAGUGAGGAAUAUUGGUCAAUGGACGAAAGUCUGAACCAGCCAUGCCGCGUGAAGGAUGACUGCCCUAUGGGUUGUAAACUUCUUUUGUAUAGGAAGAAACCCCUCUACGUGUAGAGGGCUGACGGUACUAUUCGAAUAAGCACCGG
rnacentral:rRNA from 1 species